UGUGCCACCACACCUGGCUAAUAAUUUUUAGGUGUGCAAGUAGAUCUUAGGACCAAAAAGCUUGAGAAGUGCGCUGCUGGAGGAAAAGCCUCAGAAGCAAUCCCAGCAGCACAAAGCACACAAGAGGUGUCCAAACACGACUGGGCAGCUGGCUGAGGCACCUGUUUCCUAAGCUGAGUCUUAUAAAUAAAACCAGGCGAUAAAUAAGUAAAUACUUUAAACACAAGUUUAGAAACUCCAGGCAUGUGAGUUACAAAGCUAUGGAGUUAUAAACUCCUUUCAAAGCUAAUCAAAUGUCAAAGUUUCUAGAGAAGCUGAAAUUCAAGCAGAAUUCAUUCCUCACUGGCCCAGUAUGUGUGCAUGGAAUAUGCACUAGAGAGCCAUCACUGUACAGCACAGACCCUUUCUUGAGUGACUGCUACUGCCUGGCAUUGGACUAGGUGCUUUGAAUUACCUGUUUCAUUGACUGCUCACACCACCACCCAUACAGAUACUAUUACAUCCAUGUGUGACCUUUGGAAGCUUGGGGCUGGGGUUUAGCUCAGUGAUAGUAUGCUUGCCUACACCUUAAAAAGUCUAGAAUGAAACAUCCCACUGGUAGAGAUAGUUGGCAUGUGAUGAUUUGUUUCCAAUGGACAAAGAAUAUUUGAUUUCCCAUUUGUGCAUGUUUACUAUGUAACUCUGGUGUUUAGGCAAUAAAUCAACCUUCUAUAGCUGUUUAAUUAGAUACAGGUGACCUACUUUUCUCAUGAUGACUUCUUCAUGGAUCAAGCUUUUAAUAAACAUUGUUGUAUAGGCACAGACUUUUUCUAGAGGGAUUCAGAAGAAAUGGACCAGUGACUUCCAUUGGAGGGAACUGAGUGACUGAAGCUCAAGGUGACACUAUUCGUACCAUUUAUAGGUUCUUGCUGAGUCACUAAGCUGCCUAGUCUUGGCUUGGACUUGCAGUCUUCCUGCCUCAGCCUCCAGGAGUACCAGGAUUACAGUUGUGCUUCACUGUGCCCAGCACAAAGCAUCUAAGUAAUAAACUUGGCAACUCUGAGGGGCAGGGAAGAUUUUAGAUGUGAUCCUGGAGCUAAAUCAAGAAUGAAGUUAGACCUAGAGUCUAAGCCUUGGACACCAGUGGGGACCAGGCAGCUGAAGGAAACAAGAGAAGGAGUCAAGCCCUCAGCCCUACUGCCUGAUGCAAUGCAGGAGCCAGGUGAUUCUGUGUGGAGUCUCACACAUCUUCAGUGUUGGAAAUUAGUAAAAGUCAUAAAAAAAUAUUAAAAUCACCUGAGUCAAAUGUCAUCUAGGGGUUGGUACUUCUGUGAGUUAGCUCCAGAAUUUUAGUUACCUAGAACAGGGGAGGACCAGGCAGCACCAGAAUCUAGUGAGGCCUGAGUAUGUCAGUUCAUGUUGUAACUAGGAACUCCAUGUGCCAACUCCUGUCAUGACUGGCUGAAUGGGGCAGACUUCUGCUUUAGGGGCAAGAGCCAGGCUCUUCUCUUCCCCUAGAAUGAGAGCUCAGGCAGAGGCAGGCCUGUCCUAACCCUACCAAUGG